AUUUAGGGCAAAGUAAUUAGAAAUAGAUAAGGUUUACAUCAUACUCGUAUAUAAACGUAAAUAAACGCUCCUCUAAAAGGAAGCCGGUGCGUCUCAAACUGUCACAAUGAAACUUUUACUCUACGUUGCCGUAAUCGCUUGUGUAUGCGCGCCGUUCGCGUAUGCUGUGCCUGUUGUGAGUGACGGCUAUGAUGAUCCUACAGCAAUCGUUAGAACACGAAGGCAAUUGUACGAUGGCUUCCACCACAAAACAAUCGGCGAAAUAGUUGACGAGUUUAACGACAUCUUACCUUUGUACCUCCAAGAUCCAAACGACAAGGAUUACCCCUAUAUGAAGUUAGGCCUGUUCGACGACGACUAAAUUAUAAGCAAUUAAUUCUUAAAUUGUUCAUUGUUGUUCUAUUGGAUAUUAAAGAAUAUAUUAAUUUUUUUCGAGACUUAAAUACUUUCAAAAUCGGACACGUUUUGGUUAGACGUGUUUAAGUAUAUUAAUACUACUAGCGGACCCCCGCGACUCCGUCCGCGGGAAAAGCUAUGUAAACUUUUUAACCCCUAUUUCACACUCUUCUAUUUAUAUUUUUGUAAGUUUUAAAAGUAUAAUAAAUAGUCGACCAAUAUAUAUAAAAUAAAUAAUAAAUUUACAAAAUAAA